GUAUUUAUAGGUGCAGCCGCGCCGCCGAGCGCCCUGUGCAAUAACACGGCAAUCACGUGUGGGAAACGGGGAGCUGGAGGAAAACAAAAGCCCGGCCAGCAGCCCGGAGGAGGAGGGAGAAGGUAUCACAAUGUUAAUGUAGACAUAAAGUUCAAAAUGGAGUAGUCUUUAUUGAAACAAGGAAUGGGCAAAUGUCCUGUCUGCCUGGAAAUGAACAAGCAGUGGUGUAAAUAAAGGGCGACUCGUAACUGCAGGAGAACAGAACGACUGGUAAUGAAUGAAUGGACUGGAAAUUGCAGGAAGGCUCGGACUCAAAUUCCAAGGCAGGAUUGUAAAUUGUGGGAAGUGGAGUCAGACGUGCUGUACAACAACAGUACAGAUGCUUGAAUUUGCUGCUCCUUUGUAGAUGUGAAUUUGUUUGAAAAGCCAUCUGCUGGUCUUGAGCCUUUAGUAUUUGCCUGCCAACCAGAAUGAGAUAGGUGGGGAGUAUGUUGCUCUUACUGUUCUGUACAAGGCAUACCUGAACUGCAGAGAAAAGCAGGAGGACGAUAGCCCAUAAAGGUAAGAUGAUAAAUGCAGGUAAGGUCAUUUGUCCCAGAACUUCAAAUGCUCAAUUCAGUAUGCAAUUGUUUCCAAAGUGGAUAUUUUUAAAGGGCAUCACGCCAAGUAAUUUUAGGCCAAAUAUGUGGCUAUUUAAGGAAAUACAUUACAGAGCAUUAAAGGCAACUCCCAUGAAAAAUCAUUUUAAUUGUGCCCAAAUCUGUGCAGUUGUGCCUCAGUUCAGAGCCGAGGACCCGGUGAGGCAGGACACGGUAAUGCUCAGUGCCAAACAGACUGAGGGCCAGAGCUCUGAAAGGGGCACAUCAUGUUCAUGGGGGAUAUUUCUUUUCCCUCUCCACUUUGAAUGUUCCCUUGCAAGUGUUGUGUUAUUAAAUGUAAAUACAAUAGCCUGGUGUGGAUGAAACCUAGAGAGAGCAUCUCCCUGUGUGAAAUGUGCCAGCUCUGUUCACCAUUUGCAGGAUAAACCCUGUUUCCUGCCAGGGUGUCCCACUUUGAACAGGGAGUUUCCUCUCCCCAAACAAUAGCGGCGUGGGUCAGCAUUGCCCUGGGAGUGAGUGGUUUUACAGGGGAGGAGGUGCGCAGGUGGAAGAGAAAUGGUUUGCAAUAGAAGCAGGACUGAUUUUUCCAUGACUGCACCAGGAUGGUGCUAUGUCAGCCCCCGUUGGCGUGGGGUUUGCUGGUUUUCCACCCACCAUGUGGACAAAGAGACUUUCCCCUAGACAUGGAUGUGGUCCCUGACGUGGGUAGUGCUCCGUGCUCAACCCUCUGCCCUCCUGCAGCAUCUCCUCUGGAAGGAGAGCAGCAUUGCCUGCGCAACUGAUGAUUUCUGCAGGCUGAAGUCCAUCAAAGCUAUCUAAAGAUUCUUUAAAACACAGCGUGAACAACUUAGGGGCUGUUUUUUCCUUUCGCAUUAGCUGCAUGAGGAGGAAAGCACAUGGGACAUGGGACAUGGCGAUGCUUUGUCUUGUGCUGGAGCAUGGGUGCUUCAGCAGGACAGGCUGCCAGAGGAACAUAAUCUCUGCCCCACUCUUCCUGACCAGGGCUGAUGGAGCUGUUUUUUCCAGUGAAUUUCCAGCUAUGCUAUUAAAACAAACUUCUCACUGAAAGCUUCUGCCUUGAAGCAGCCACCCUGCCUCUGUAUCUGCCUCUGUUCUGUAACUCUCUGUGCUGUUGAAUGGGGAUCUCCUCUCCCAGGCUAUCUAUCUCCUAUGCAGCUGAAAUUAACCCCUAUGCAAUCCUAUGGAGCAUUAAUACCCACUAUUUAAGGGCUUAAAAGUAUCCUGCCCUGUGAUAAGUUAUCCAAAUGCUAUACAUCAGCUGUAUCGCAACCUGAAGUGAACUGGAUGUUGUGCUAUGCCUUAUUCCUGUUUUGUCAUGAAGUCACUAGGCAAGAGGGUUGGGGUUUGUCUGCUUUUAUUCUGUUUUGUUUGUGUUUUAAUAAUCAUUAUUUGCAGCCAAAUUCUAAAGUCCAUGGUUAGGGACCCUACGGUCAAAUUUCCCUUAACUCUUGUUAGGGGAGGGAAAAAUUGAGUCAGGACCUUAUGAUCUGAACAUAAGCAAACAAUCUGUUGUGGCAAACUCAUGGGGGGAUAAAAAAAUAUGAUGAUUCAAGGCAACAAUAUGCUCAUCCUGAGAUCAUCAUUUUCACAAAGGCAGGGGGUAACAGCUGUCUGUUCAUCAGAGGAUUAUAUCUUCCUGCUGUUAUUUCUGUGACCCUAAAUAAAACCUCUAAUGCCAGCGCAGCAGCGUGGCCAGAGAAAACAGCAAUGGCAGGAACAAAUCCCUCCCUUCUGCUCUGGAGAGGUUUCUGUGGAUGGAGUUGUUUUUAUGGAGUCUUAACUAAAUUAUUUUUCCUGUUAGGUCCAGAAGGUAGAGAUUCAAAUAAUCUCCCACCUUCUA